UUAGACCGUUAGAGCAGGACGGAGAAUGGAGUCACCGAGAAAAGCGACUUUCGGUGACUCCAUUCUCCGUCCUGCUCGGUAAAA
rnacentral:pre_miRNA from 1 species